GGGUGGGUCCUAGCAGCGCGGCCUGACGGGACCAAGGCGGCGGGAGUCUGCGGUCGUUCCCUCGGCUGUGGACCGGGCGGCACGCACGCGGUGCAGGGUAACAUGGCGGAUGCGGAAGUAAUUAUUUUGCCAAAGAAACAUAAGAAGAAAAAGGAGCGGAAGUCAUUGCCAGAAGAAGAUGUAGCCGAAAUACAACACGCUGAAGAAUUUCUUAUCAAACCUGAAUCCAAAGUUGCUAAGUUGGACACGUCUCAGUGGCCCCUUUUGCUAAAGAAUUUUGAUAAGCUGAAUGUAAGGACAACACACUAUACACCUCUUGCAUGUGGUUCAAAUCCUCUGAAGAGAGAGAUUGGGGACUAUAUCAGGACAGGUUUCAUUAAUCUUGACAAGCCCUCUAACCCCUCUUCCCAUGAGGUGGUAGCCUGGAUUCGACGGAUACUUCGGGUGGAGAAGACAGGGCACAGUGGUACGCUGGAUCCCAAGGUGACUGGUUGUUUAAUCGUGUGCAUAGAACGAGCCACUCGCUUGGUGAAGUCACAACAGAGUGCAGGUAUGUGGGAGAGGGAGGGAAGGACUGGCUAGAGUGAAAAGCUUUCUGUAUUUCCCUUCUAUGUUUUGUCUGCUGGAAACUAUUUCUUCAUUAAGAAAAAAAAAAAUCCUAAAGCAAGGAUAUUGUUUUGGUUUCUGUGUACGUUCUGUCCCCUGCCAGAUCUUGGUGGUCCGCGCUUUUUGGAAUUCCACAUACUAAGCAUGUAUUCAUCAAGCUGACUGGAUCCAUUUGUCCGGGUUCAGCUCUCAGCUUGUCACUCCAGGCUUCUCACUCUGUGCUACCGCUUCUGCCUAAAGUAUCCUUCGUUCAUUUUUAUCUGAGAAAAGCCUGCUUAUCUUGCAAGGCUUUUUCCACGCAGCUUCUACACUGAGUACUCCCAACUGUCCCUGUUAGUACAUUGAAUUCCCAGUGAGAAAGUGUCUUCAUUCUUUCCCACAUCAUCACCAUGAAAUCUCUCUUAAUGCAAAUUUUAUAGAAACACAAGGUCAAACUGCCGCUUUUCCUGCUGUGCAAAAUGGGAGUGACUGAGCAUAUAAGAAAUAUGGAAAACAGAAAACUCAGUGGCCACACCUGACUACUCUUUUGUCAUUUUUCAGGCAAAGAGUAUGUGGGGAUUGUCCGGCUGCACAAUGCUAUUGAAGGGGGGACCCAGCUUUCUAGGGCCCUAGAAACUCUGACAGGUGCCUUAUUCCAGCGACCCCCACUUAUUGCUGCAGUAAAGAGGCAGCUCCGAGUGAGGACCAUCUACGAGAGCAAAAUGAUUGAAUACGAUCCUGAAAGAAGAUUAGGAAUCUUUUGGGUGAGUUGUGAGGCUGGCACCUACAUUCGGACAUUAUGUGUGCACCUUGGUUUGUUAUUGGGAGUUGGUGGUCAGAUGCAGGAGCUUCGGAGGGUUCGUUCUGGAGUCAUGAGUGAAAAGGACCACAUGGUGACAAUGCAUGAUGUGCUUGAUGCUCAGUGGCUGUAUGAUAACCACAAGGAUGAGAGUUACCUGCGGCGAGUUGUUUACCCUUUGGAAAAGCUGUUGACAUCUCAUAAACGGCUGGUUAUGAAAGACAGUGCAGUAAAUGCCAUCUGCUAUGGGGCCAAGAUUAUGCUUCCAGGUGUUCUUCGAUAUGAGGACGGCAUUGAGGUCAAUCAGGAGAUUGUGGUUAUCACCACCAAAGGAGAAGCAAUCUGCAUGGCUAUUGCAUUAAUGACCACAGCGGUCAUCUCUACCUGCGACCAUGGUAUAGUAGCCAAGAUCAAGAGAGUGAUCAUGGAGAGAGACACUUACCCUCGGAAGUGGGGUUUAGGUCCAAAGGCAAGUCAGAAGAAGCUGAUGAUCAAGCAGGGCCUUCUGGACAAGCAUGGGAAGCCCACAGACAGCACACCUGCCACCUGGAAGCAGGAGUAUGUUGACUACAGUGAGUCUGCCAAAAAAGAGGUGGUUGCUGAAGUGGUAAAAGCCCCGCAGGUAGUUGCCGAAGCAGCAAAAACUGCGAAGCGGAAGCGAGAGAGUGAGAGUGAAAGUGACGAGACUCCUCCAGCAGCUCCUCAGUUGAUCAAGAAGGAAAAGAAGAAGAGUAAGAAGGACAAGAAGGCCAAAGCUGGUCUGGAGAGCGGGGCCGAGCCUGGAGAUGGGGACAGUGAUACCACCAAGAAGAAGAAGAAGAAGAAGAAAGCAAAAGAGGUAGAAUUGGUUUCUGAGUAGUGAAGGCCACUUGAAGCUGGAGGAGAAACUAAAGCCUUAUUGAGAAAACAUGUUAUAGAUCCUUUUGUUGCUGAGAGAGUGGAACAUAGGUCCUAGACAGGGUGAAGAGUUCUGGCACAUUUUAGCUGCUACUUUGAGACCUCGGUGAUGUUACCUGGUGUGGUCAUCCCAUCUUGUCCUGUUUUAAGGAUAUGGGUGGUGAAAGAUGAAAGAGGCAGAGUUUAUCCCAAUGACUUCUCUGUUUGAGUUGGGAAGCCUCACCUUCAGACCCAGUAACUGUCCGCAGCUGUCUGCUAGUGGUUGUCUUAACAUCGUAGUCCUAGUUUGCAUUUUUUAAAUCCCCUCUGUUUAAAAGGUUUGUAAAACAAAAACAAAAAACUAAGUCUGCUCAGUGAAAUGCUGUAGAACCCUAAAUAAGUGGUAGAAGAGUGUCACUGAAUUUUGUCUCUGAAUUCAGUAUAACUGAGUUUUGUCCAUGCUGGUGUCUGGGUUAUAGGCCUGAUGGGCCUGGUAGUUUUCCAUCUUGUUCUGGCCUAGAGGUCAGUCCUUUGCACUUCCUCAAAGCUUGUGUACAGUGCUCACCUAAAUCCAUCUGACUACUUGUUCCUGUGCCCUCUUGUUUUAGGCCUCGUUUACUUUUAAAAAAUGAAAUUGUUCAUUGCUGGGAGAAGAAUGUUGUAAUUUUUACUUAUUAAAGUCAACUUGUUAAGUUUUUUAUGUAUUCCUGUUGGGUUUUCUUGUUGAUCUCAUGCUAGCAGAGCAAAAAUUGUAAAAUAUUUUGAUUAAAAAUCUAGGGACCUUUAUGUCCUAUUUGAAAUGUGA